AUAUAGUGGUUUUUGCUUUGUGGAAUUACAGACACAACUGUAAAAGAUAGACUUUUACGUACAAAGGAUUUAACAUUAGAUAAAGCUAUUAAUAUAUGUCGUAUAUCCCAAGAGACAAGAAUGCACUUA